rnacentral:lncRNA from 1 species
AAUGAAGUUCGUGAUGGAACAAAAAUACGGGAAACUGAGAGGAAGUAUAACAUUCCCCAUGCCACAUUUAUGGACAAAUUAAAAGAAAAAACAUCUUUGGAUGCUAGAAAGGGUCCUCCAACUAUUCUAACUUCAGAUGAAGAAAACCUCCUAGUUUGUUGAUUGAAGGGCAUGGCCAAAAAAGGAAUACCGGUUGAACCAAGAAAACUAAUUGAUGCUGUUCAAGCAAGACUUAAUAAAAAAAAAGAUCGACGAAAAAGUCCAUUUACUCAAGGAAAUGGACUACCUGGAAAAAACUGGCUAGAUCUUUUUUAAACGACAUCCAAGUAUUUCACUGCGUAAACCUGAACCUCUUGGUUUAGCAAGAGGGUUGGUAACUGAACGUGCAAUUCGUGAAUGGCAUCAUAACUUUUAAACUUAUAUAAUAGAAGAAACUGGAAAUAGCAAUCUGCUAAAAGAUCCUUCCAGAAUUCUCAAUAGGGAUGAAUCUUGUUUUCGAACUAACCCAGGAACCUCUUUAGUUAUAGGUCCCAAAGGAUUUAAAGAUCUAUAUCAGGUUCGAAGUAAUGAUAAGGAAUGUAUUAUUAUUAUGGUAAUGGUAACAUUUACAGCUAGUGGAAAUAUGGCACCUCCCUGCAUCAUUUAUCCCUAUGAAAGGAUACCGACAGAAAUUAACAGAAACGUAAGUCCUAGCUGGUCAUUAGGCAGGUCUAAGUACAUACAUACUGGAAGAAAAAAGAUGAAGAAAAAAUACAAAAACAACAAAAGAAAAAA